rnacentral:lncRNA from 1 species
CUGCAGUCAGAUCUGUGGUGGGACCCUCUGACGACUGUUCACAAAAACUGGUAAGUUCUGUUACCAUUGUUACCUAAUCAGACUCUCCAACUAAACAGGCUCUCUAAGCACACAUAUAAUCUAACCAGUCUCACUAACCACACAUUUCUCUUUCUAUUGUGCUUUUUUUUUCUUCUGUGUGUAUUUGUGACGGAGUUCCAGCUCUGCAUUGAACGGUCAGAUGUGACCGGUGUGGUUGGGUUGUCUAAAGACUGUUUACAAAAACUGCUCUGCAGUGAACAGUCAGAUCUGUGGUGGGACCCUCUGACGAAUGUUCACAAAAACUGCUCUGCAGUGAACAGUCAGAUCUGUGCUUGGGUUGUCUAAAGACUGUUUACAAAAACUGCGUCUUUGCCUGUGCCGCCAAUUGGAGGCAUGGCAUUUCUUCACUAUGCCUCUAUGGAAUCCAGCGGCUCCCAGUGCAAUUAAUAGCUAAAUCCAGAGCUGGCUGUAUGGAGCUGCAGGGCUGUGCAGGGCCGCCAGGAGGCGCUGCUGCUUCUGAUUUAGUCAGGGCUGAUUCAGCUGUGGGCUCAGCGAGCACUGAUGCUCACCUCCUCACACUGCAAUACUCCAAAGAAUACUUUACAUAACAUGUUACUACUAAAAUUAUUAAACACUAACACAUUACUGUCCCUUCACAGAAGGAGGAGGUUAUCUUUUUCUUUUUUCUCCACAUAGUUAUUGUUAAUAAUAAUAAUAAUAAUAAUAAUAAUAAUAAUAAUUUUUAUUAUUAUUAUAUUAUUAUUACUACUAUUAUCAUCAUCAUACUGUGAAUCUCACACCUAUUCUCCAGUCUUCUGGAUGUCCAGUCAUGUUCAUCAUUUCCCACUCAUUCAUCACCUGUGAUCAGGUAAUAAAGAAGUUAUUAAGCAAGAAGUUAUCA